ensembl:lncRNA
CCCAGCAAUGAGACCCAGCCCUGCUGCUGGAGCGAGGGCUGUGAUGUUGGGCACGUGGUAUCCCACCAGUGCCAACUGAAGUGAUGUGGUCCAACCCGGUGCCUCCAGUGCUCUAAGCCUGGAAAUGCUGCGCUGUUUUAUCUUCUCAAGGCCACACAUGUUAAAUUCACAGUGUGUUGGCACUAAGAAGGGGUGAGUGAUUCAACACAGCUGUCUGAUAUCGUGGAGAAACAUCCUGUACCUCUCUGUGUCAAAGUGCUGAUGGUUCCUGUUUCCAGGCAGAAGAAAUAUUAAUACAUAAUGAGCAAAGAAAAGGAUUCUGUGUUUACAGAAUGCUAACUCACAAAUUAGAAGGGACAGUUCUAACAAUAAAGGGUUAUUUUAGUUUUAAUUUUGAAGGAAGAAGAAGCUGCAGUGAAUUCUGAUGUUUGCCAGUCAUGCAGACAGGGAGGUUGGGAGAGAAACUGAAUGAUUCCCUGGCGCUCUGUGUCACCCAUCCCCUACAACACCUCCACUUCUCCCAUCAUCCUGUCUGUUAAUUGAGCAGCAUGUGCUGCGAUGUGAAGAAUGCAGCUGGUGGCAGGUCAGAGACUGCAGGUGACUGCUAAGUGAACUCAGCAGCUUUUCUCCUAUUAGGGGCCAUCAUCCGUGCCUGUGUUCUGUAUCCAACCAUCAGUGUUCUUAAGACAGGUGAUACUGAAGAUCACAGCAAACCCUAACCUGCUGUCAAAUGUAACAGGAGACGAGUGGGAUGAUCAUAUUUCAAAGGGAAGCAGGCUAAAAUAAUGCCAGUUUCCUACCUUUAAAAUCACGUUGCUGUUUUCAUGGAGAAUACCCUCUUACAACACGGUCACACUACAGCGUACCACUGCUACUCAUUACCACACUGCCGCGUUAUUGAGAGCUGAUGUGAUUAGCACCGGAAGAUUCUUAACAUGGCAGUGAGCUUGUCAAUGACCAUUAGAAUGAACUGGUCACAUUAUUGAUUCAUUAGAGUUCAGUGAAUUUUAAACAGCCAGCUGGCUAAUUUAUCUUUGCUUUUAGUUUCACUUUUUCGUUCUACUUGUAUGAGAAACUUUUGCUUGGGUUCCACAAGCAGCAGCACACUGAUUUCCCCCCUAUUCUCACCAGAGGCAAGGAAAUCAAACCCCUCCCCACUUUACACCCUACUCAAUCCCACUGACAUCGAUUUACUUAAAGCUAUCGUUUUUCCUCUGAGAUCUGUACAGUAGGCAAAAGAUGGGGAUUUGGCUAGAUAUCUCUAAAAUGAUGUGAUUUAUUAUAUCUCUUAUUUUAAAACAUGACUAUCCACAUUUCUCCUUCAUAACUAUUGAUGUGCUUAACUCUGGAGGUGGCUACAAAGUAAAAAAGGGCAAUUUCUAGCUGGCAUUUGAUUUAAAUUCCAGGCUUUUUCUUCUUAUUUCAUAGAAUCAUGGUCUGGCUUCCUCCUUGCCCUAUCACUAUCACCAAAGCAUCUGCCCGCGUGUUUCAGUGCUAUCCAAGUGCACGACUUUUGUGGUUCUGGCACAUUCAUUCUCGGAACCUGGGCACCUCAACUGCUACUACUGUAGGAAGAGCGCAUAAGGUGAGGAUUCCCUCG